rnacentral:lncRNA from 1 species
CAUGCAGUGCCCCGCUCCCAGCCAAAGUGGAAAGGCUUCCAGGCUGACAUUUUACCUGCAUUUUUCCUCCAUGGGGCUAUGAAAUAAAAGAUACAAGAAAAUUUCAACUGGAGAAGCUUGUGCCAAGCUCAAACUGAAGGCAUCACAAGACAGACAGAAUUAUUGCAGUCAGACAAAGCCCACAGCAAAAACAUGCCAUGAGCAGUUCUGCAAAACCCAUUUCCUGCAGCCAGCGAGAGGACUGUGCUUUCAAAGGUUUUAUAGGCUUACCUGCAGAAAUCCUCCAGCUUUGGAGAAAAUCCCCACAGAAUCUUUUUCCACCAAGCCUGGCAGAUGAUAUCCUGGAGUUCAUGAUACCUUACGACCAACCAACAGGAAGACAACAUUCCAAGCUGGCUGCACAGGGCUGCUGUGCCUGCUCCCAAACUGCCAUCUCCACACAGCCUCAGUAUCUACAGCAUCUGGAACUAUGAUUUUCCCUACUCAGUGCCAGCCACCAGCCCUGCAAAGCUCCUGCAUGGACCCCAGCACAUCACUCAUCCAAAGCGCUGCCAAGCACUGGACAGGUACAAGUGGGGCUGCUCCUGUCAUUCUGGCAGCCACAUGAUUCUGGGUGGUGGGAGGUAAGAACAGUAUGCCUGCAUGCUGCUGUGUCAGUUCAGCUCAGAAAACAGGACUUGACCUGUUUUAGUGGCUUCACAGAUGUUACUUGUGGGCCUCAAUGCACAGCAGCACUCCCUCCUUUCACCUCAUCACAUAUGAGCACACAAACCCUGACUGGAGCCCUCAGCUUCCCAGAUGUCCAGGUCUGAGACAACUUCCCAAACAUCCAUGUUUACAUUUAGUCAAGCAUUUUGAGCCCUCCACCCCCAAACACAGAGUAAAAGGAUGGAUUAGACAAAGGAUUGCCUUUCAAAGAGAUACCUGUGGUUUGAAACAGGGUAGGUAUUGAGACUCACAAUUAAUACCCAGCUGGACUUAAAUGUAUUUUCUAAUCCACUGCACUGUAUUCUAUUCCUAAGCACAUCAUAAAAAUUAUGGAAAGGAAAAAAUGCUUGAAACGGCCAUUAUAGACUGUUAAGCAUAGUUUAAGCAACAGUAUUAUGUCUAAAAGACAAUCAGAGUCUUUUAGAAGUCAAUCAGACUCAGAGGAAACAUUAACAGCACCAGAAAGAAAACUUGCUGCAGUGGAAAUACGGCAAUACUGCAGCAGUUCAGCCAAACAACCCAAUUUGACCGUCAGUCUGCUGGUUAUGACCAUUUAUAGGAUGUGGCUGGUUGUAAUAACUG